rnacentral:rRNA from 1 species
GACGAACGCUGGCGGCGUGCUUAACACAUGCAAGUCGAGCGGUAAGGCCCUUUCGGGGGUACACGAGCGGCGAACGGGUGAGUAACACGUGGGUGACCUGCCCUCAGCUCUGGGGUAAGCCCGGGAAACUGGGUCUAAUACCGGAUAUGACUCCAUGACGCAUGUUGUGGGGUGGAAAGCCUUGUGCGGCUGAGGAUGGGCCCGCGGCCUAUCAGCUUGUUGGUGGGGUGAUGGCCUACCAAGGCGACGACGGGUAGCCGGCCUGAGAGGGCGACCGGCCACACUGGGACUGAGAUACGGCCCAGACUCCUACGGGAGGCAGCAGUGGGGAAUCUUGCGCAAUGGGCGAAAGCCUGACGCAGCGACGCCGCGUGAGGGAUGACGGCCU